rnacentral:rRNA from 1 species
AGAGCGAACGCUGGCGGCAGGCCUAAUACAUGCAAGUCGAACGGACCCUUCGGGGUUAGUGGCGGACGGGUGAGUAACACGUGGGAACGUGCCCUUUGGUUCGGAACAACUCAGGGAAACUUGAGCUAAUACCGAAUGUGCCCCCUCCUUUGAUUAGGGGGGUGGGAAAGAUUUAUCGCCAUUGGAGCGGCCCGCGUCUGAUUAGCUAGUUGGUGGGGUAAAGGCCCACCAAGGCUACGAUCAGUAGCUGGUCUGAGAGGAUGAUCAGCCACACUGGGACUGAGACACGGCCCAGACUCCUACGGGAGGCAGCAGUAGGGAAUCUUGCGCAAUGGGCGAAAGCCCUGACGCAGCCAUGCCGCGUGAAUGAUGAAGGUCUUAGGAUUGUAAAAUUCUUUCAGCGGGGACGAUAAUGACGGUACCCGCAGAAGAAGCCCCGGCUAACUUCGUGCCAGCAGCCGC